rnacentral:rRNA from 1 species
GACAGAGGGUGCAAACGUUUGUUCGGAAUUACUGGGCGUAAAGCGCGUGUAGGCUGCUUCGCAAGUCGGAUGUGAAAGCCCUGGGCUCAACCCAGGAAGUGCAUUCGAAACUGCAGAGCUGGAGUCCUGGAGAGGAAGGCGGAAUUCUCGGUGUAGAGGUGAAAUUCGUAGAUAUCGAGAGGAACACCGGUGGCGAAGGCGGCCUUCUGGACAGUGACUGACGCUGAGACGCGAAAGCGUGGGGAGCAAACAGG